UAGGAAUUUUACAUUACUGAUACUCAGAUUUCCGACGCUCCUGAACGCAACUUCGUCGUCCGACUGCACCUGAAUGCACCAAUGACGUUAGUUUGAUCUUUUGAUUGUAUUUCGUUUGGAUUUGAAGAAGCUUUGAAGGUUUCCUGAUGCCAGAGGAGAAGAUGAGCAGCUUUGUACCUUUGCGGGGUAAAAGUUCCUCUUUUUUAAAACAAUGUGACCAUCUUCAGGAGCUCAUGAUGCUGCUGCCUCUCUUCGGAUUUCACUCUCCUGGCCUUGUACUGAUGACAACCACUACGACCUUCCCAGAUUCAAAGAAAAGGUACGUGUUCGUAGCUCAAAUCAUUUUCAUUUUUUGCACUGCUAUUGAACUGCCAACGGCUGAUUUGUGCGUCUCAUAUUUUACUGAUUAGAAUUCUAUUGGCUUUACAAGAUCCAAAGAAAACAGCAAGUCUGUACUUAAGUUGUAGUCUUGGAGGACUGGAUACAACAGGCUUCACGGCAGCUGUGAAGAUCAUCUCCAAGCAUGUAAAGUGAGCGUAGCCCUCAUAGCACACUUCAUUUUGUGUUUUUGUCCUUUAAUAAUACCUUAUUUUGGGUUUUCCUUUAUCGGAUCAGAGGGUGUAAAAUUCCCAUAUUUACAUACUGGGUUUUGCCUCGCCUCUCGUUGGACUAACAGGCUUAUAGGAAUUCAUUAUGAACACACAAGCUUCAUUCUACAAUUCUACAAUUUCAUUUAGCAGAUGCUUUUAUCCAAGGCAACAUGCAUCUGAGAGUAAAUACAUCACAAACAAGAAUCAAGAAAACAAGCUGGAUACGUGUCUGCAGUUACUGUUUUCAGGAAUUCUUGUAAUCUGUGGUUUUACUGCUUAGUUUUUUGUUUAUUAUAAGAAAGUAGAGACUAGUGCAGAAUAGCGUGAUGCCGUGGGUUGGUUUUCCACGAAGCCUCCAGGAUUUUUUGAGUCACCAGCUGGUAUUAACAAUAUUUUUUAAUUGCAUUCAGUGUUUUUAGAGCUGUUCAAAAAGGUCUGAAGAAAAAAGAAAAAAAAAAUUACAAAUGUAACAUGGAAUGACCUUGCCAUCUUUCAUCUAUUUACCCACCACACAUUCCUCUGAUGAUACAAAACGCCUCCUUGCUGCUGGUGGAUAUGCAAGUGUGCUGGUGGCAGAAACACGUGAAUCAGCGGGUGCAGCUCAGCUGUAAUUACUAUGCUGAACAUGCAGGGCUGCUUGAUGACUUGCUCUCCGGCUCAGCUGCACUUGGCUGUUUUUUUUUUUGUCCUCCUUUAGAUCUUUGCAGACUCAGUUUGUUUUACUGCACUGACACUGCUUGUCCUUUGCAGUCUGUGAAAUGCUUCGGUUUGAAUUUGCUGCUCUGCUGCAAUACAAGGUUUCUGUUUAACAUUAAAUCAGAUUCAGUCCUACCUGGGUGGGAGUCUUAUGUAAUUCAGCUUGGAGCGAGGUUUUGGAGACAGACAUGCCUCAGUGGUUUUUCAGCUUUGUUGGGCGCUGUGAGUUUAUUGGGGCAUAAUUAUGUGACCAACAUAGAGUGAAGCUGCAGCGUGGUUUAAAAUGCUAAAGCAGGAACGCAUGUGUUGAUUAGAGUUAGUUUUGUGACUUCAGAUCUGCAGUUUGAAGUGGAAGGUGUUAAGAGUCGAUGCUGGCUUCUCACUUUAAUUGAUCAAAGUCCCACAGAACAGAGUUCGGCUCUGAUCGGCUCGUUUCAUUUUUAAUGAAUGCAGAGAAAAGUCUGAGGAGGAAUAACUGCGCACAGCGGUUUUCCCUGUGGUGUUUCAUGUGCUGGCUGAGAUGCUAAAGCAACACAACACAGAUGUCGCAUUAAAUAAAAUACAGGCAAUGAUUUUCUUCUUUCACUGCUAACAUCAUGUUGACAUGAUUUUGCAGCAAGACUUUGUGUUAGGAUAAAAAUGCACUGCUACAUUGUUAGGAUUUUGUGUAACUGUGAGAUCAGUUUUCCAGGAAAAUGGAUUCAUGCUUUAAGGUGGCGCCUUCUGCUGCUGACAAAUGUUUUCAUCUCCAUGUGUCACUGACGUACCUGAACCAGUGGGUGGGCCUUGCUCCGGAGCUCAGCCACUAUUAGACACACUGGUGAGUCCAUGUUCAUUAUUUUUGCAAAAAAACUGGCAAUAACUCAAGAUAGUUACUGGACCCCUGUAAAAUGUUGACCAUCAUUUUUGUUGUAUGAGUUGGCGGGUGGCUCUUGUGACUUUUAAGCUCCAGGCUAACUUACUUUGUGUGUUAAGAACCAGCUGUAGCACAACUCAACUAAUUCUGCAGAAAGAAAAAAAAAAAAAAAAGACUUUUAAUUUCAGGGUUUUUAUUUCAACAAAUUUUCACCACAGUAAUGUUUCUUCAUGCAGUACUUUAUAAAAACAAAAAAAGAUUUAAUUAUCAUUAUUAUUAUUAUUAUUUUACAUAUGUCCAUCUUGUCACAUUUUCAGCAUAACCCUUCAGGAUAUUUUUGAAAAAUGGAAAGCAAGUUGAGGGAGCAGUCGGCUGUCAGGUAGUAUUCCCAAAUACUAAAUUCUGUUCCUAUUUUGAAAGACGAUUACUUAUUUUUUUCCAAAACGUCCAAUAUAUCACCAGUUACUUCCCAAUUAAAGGUUAUCGUUUUCUUUGUAAAC